AUUGAACGCUGGCGGCAGGCCUAACACAUGCAAGUCGAGCGGAUGAAGGGAGCUUGCUCCUGGAUUCAGCGGCGGACGGGUGAGUAAUGCCUAGGAAUCUGCCUGGUAGUGGGGGAUAACGUCCGGAAACGGGCGCUAAUACCGCAUACGUCCUGAGGGAGAAAGUGGGGGAUCUUCGGACCUCACGCUAUCAGAUGAGCCUAGGUCGGAUUAGCUAGUUGGUGGGGUAAAGGCCUACCAAGGCGACGAUCCGUAACUGGUCUGAGAGGAUGAUCAGUCACAGUGGAACUGAGACACGGUCCAGACUCCGACGGGAGGCAGCAGUGGGGAAUAUUGGACAAUGGGCGAAAGCCUGAUCCAGCCAUGCCGCGUGUGUGAAGAAGGUCUUCGGAUUGUAAAGCACUUUAAGUUGGGAGGAAGGGCAGUAAGUUAAUACCUUGCUGUUUUGACGUUACCAACAGAAUAAGCACCGGCUAACUUCG
rnacentral:rRNA from 1 species